GCCUGGCCGCUGGGUGGAGCUUGUGAGCACCUGCCCGGAAGGCGUGGUCUGGCCACUGUGACUCUGGAACCAGGCCGGUGAGGAAGAAAUCACCUGUUCUGCCUGCAUCGUGGAGAGCGCACCUCCCACCUGCACGCCCUAGACAGGACCAAGCUUCCGGAGCCCAGCUCUGUUGUUGACCCUGCGUGUGCAGCUGCCCCAGAGACACCUGGUGCCUCGGAUUCCUGGACCUUUGGGGGCCGCUUUGGAAUAAACCCGUUGCGGCUCGGCCUUUCCCUGUGGGGCCUCUGGUCUAUGAGAAAGAGAAGACCGCAAGGGGACGUUGCGCUUUCAAUACGGUUGAUCUACCCUCGUGAAUGAUAAGCCAGCCAAGCCCUAUUUUACAGCCACUCUUUGCAUUUUCUGAAGUCACCCCCUGUUUCACUCCAUCGGCUUUAGCCUUUUUUCUCUAAAGCUAUAUAGCCUUGCUUUUGUUUCCCCAAAACUUGCCCUUUAUAUUUAGAAACUCCGCUUUUAUCUUACUUCUACGGCGAUUGCUAUCUUGUUUCCAAAAGAAAGAAGGACCAGAAAGAAAAGAAAGGAAGGAAAGCCACCAUAGGGAGCAGUUAGGCGGAAAGGCAAUGGCCGUCUUGAUGAAAUCCGGGGGACUCGGGGAAAACGUGUCAUGAGCAAUCCCAGGCCGCUUCAGUUGCUGGUGCUGGCAAUGUGCAAACGUCUGGGGUAUUUGCAGAUAUCUUCACCCUGGGAUGGAACAUUGGGAGCAACCAUCUGGAUGUCUGGCUACAUGUUGCAUUUUUUAGAUGGAUUUUUAAGAGUGCCGUGUAGGAACUUCCAGCAGCGAGGCAACAUGCAGUAAACUCAGCAACGCUUUUAUUGAUACGCUGUGAAUCAAUAGCUAAGUGGCAGAAUUAUAUACAUAGCUAGCACAAGCACGUAAAAAUUAUUGUCAUGUGUUAAAAAGUAUUAAUUCAGAGGGGCGCCCGGGUGGCUCAGUCGGUUGAGCGUCCGACUUCGGCUCAGGUCAUGAUCUCCCGGUUCGGGAGUUCGAGCCCCGCGUCGGGCUCUGU